AUUGAACGCUGGCGGCCGGCCUAACACAUGCAAGUCGAACGAGUGGCGGACGGGUGAGUAAUGUCUGGGAAACUGCCCGAUGGAGGGGGAUAACUACUGGAAACGGUAGCUAAUCCCGCAUACCAUCGGAUGUGCCCAGAUGGGCUUAGCUUGAAGGUGAGGUAACGGCUCACCUAGGCGACGUUCCCUAGCUGGUCUGAGAGGAGGACCAGCCACACUGGAACUGAGACACGGUCCAGGCUCUGAAGGUGGGCAGCAGAGGGGAAUAGUGCACAAUGGGCGCAAGCCUGAUGCAGCCAUGCCGCGUGUAGUAAGAAGGCCUUCGGGUUGUAAAGUACUUUCAGCGGUGAGGCGUUACCCGCAGGAGAAGCACCUGCUAACUCCGUGCCAGCAGCCGCGGGAAUAC
rnacentral:rRNA from 1 species